CAAAACUCAUCUCCUCCAUCUUUAGCUUGCUUGAAGAACACGAAACUAAACUUCUCUACCAUGCCAAACGGGUCCCAAAUCGGUGUCUUGUUCAACACGUAUUCUCCAUUGAUCCAUCUCCACCCAGACGAAGAAUACCUACCUUCCUCUGUCAACUGGUACUUCAGCAACGGUGCCUUGCUUUACAAGCAAGGUCAAGAAUCAAACCCUAACCCUAUCGAAUCCAACGGAGCAAACCUUCCACAAGGCGGAUCUAACGACGGUUCAUACUGGCUAGACCUGCCUAGAGACAAGAAGGCCAAAGAGAGAGUUAAGAAGGGUGACUUGCGGAACACGAAAGCGUAUCUCCACAUCAAACCAAUGCUCGGAGCAACGUUCACCGACAUAGCCAUCUGGCUAUUCUACCCUUUCAAUGGUCCCGCACGUGCCAAAGUCAAGUUCAUCAACCUCCCGUUAGGGAGGAUCGGCGAACACAUUGGUGAUUGGGAACACGUGACGUUACGUAUAAGCAACUUCACCGGAGAGCUAUGGAGAGUGUUCUUGUCUCAGCACAGCGGAGGAGUUUGGCUCGACGCUUGUGACCUAGAACCCAUGACUUCAAGUUUCUACUGUUAGACCAUUUCAAAUCAAUCUCCCCAUCUCAAAAUGGGAAACUGUCUUUCAAUCACGGAUCCUUCUCCCGAAGCUGUAUCAGAGAAGAUUCUCAAAGCACUUCCCGUGGAAACUCCUUUCAAGUUUCCCUCACCACUGCCUACUUUGCCUCAAGGUUUGUACUAUAUAUGGUUCUUGUCCAUCUCUUGUGAGAAUAUAAAACUUCUACAGAGUUUCGAGGAAACAUGAAUAAUAUAAAAGACUUGGAUCAGUCCAGCCAGUUGGUUUUAAGUUGAAAAUUCGUAAAACUUAACAUUUAUUGGUUUGAUGAUUUUUAUUUGACUUGAAUCUUCAGGUAACGGGUUUGCAAAACGAACCAUUGACUUGGGAGGUCUUGAGGUUAGCCAAGUUUCGACAUUCAACAAGGUCUGGUCCACUUAUGAAGGUGGACCAGACAACCUCGGAGCAACCUUCUUUGAACCAUUAUCGGUCCCUUCCGGUUUCUCCAUCCUCGGUUACUACGCUCAACCAAACAACCAUCAACUAUUCGGAUGGGUACUCACAGCUAGGGAUCUCUCAAGCGACACCUUGAAAUCGCCUCUAGAUUACACCCUCGUAGCAAACACCGAGUCACUCAAGAUCAAACAAGACGGACCUGGAUACAUCUGGCAGCCCGUGCCGCCUGAUGGAUCCCAAGCCGUUGGUUUAUUAGUCACAACCACCUCUCAAAAGCCUCCUCUAGACAAACUACGUUGUGUUAGGUCAGACUUAACCGAACAGUGUGAAGCUGACACAUGGAUAUGGGGAAUUAACGGAGUCAACGUCUCAAACCUAAGACCGAACAUUAGAGGGACACAAGCUACAGGAGUCUGUGUCGGAACAUUCACAUGGCAACCUCAAAACUCAUCUCCUCCAUCUUUAGCUUGCUUGAAGAACACGAAACUAAACUUCUCUACCAUGCCAAACGGGUCCCAAAUCGGUGUCUUGUUCAACACGUAUUCUCCAUUGAUCCAUCUCCACCCAGACGAAGAAUACCUACCUUCCUCUGUCAACUGGUACUUCAGCAACGGUGCCUUGCUUUACAAGCAAGGUCAAGAAUCAAACCCUAACCCUAUCGAAUCCAACGGAGCAAACCUUCCACAAGGCGGAUCUAACGACGGUUCAUACUGGCUAGACCUGCCUAGAGACAAGAAGGCCAAAGAGAGAGUUAAGAAGGGUGACUUGCGGAACACGAAAGCGUAUCUCCACAUCAAACCAAUGCUCGGAGCAACGUUCACCGACAUAGCCAUCUGGCUAUUCUACCCUUUCAAUGGUCCCGC
rnacentral:lncRNA from 1 species